rnacentral:rRNA from 1 species
GAAAAAAUCUCUCAGCUCAGUCGAUCCCCACCAGUAACCUUAUCCAUCCGCCUGCACCACCUCUCCAUUAUCCAGCUGAUGAAGAUCUCGUCGCUUGCCAUCAGCGGACUAAUUCCCAAACCAUUGCGACUGCACUUCUCCAUUAAUUUCUUCCAACUUCUCUUCGUCUGGCGCAGUUUGCCGUUGUGCGGAGUGCGCAGACGCGUUCGUCGCGUUCUCAAGGAUCUAGAUCCUAGACGACCUCGUGGAGUUCAGCGGAGCGUUCUCAAGGGUUUCGGCCAAGAUGACAUGGCCGAUGGCUAGAAAACCAUGGCAGAGGUGUUGUAGUUUGGCCCAGUGGAGGAGGCUGUGAGGGAACUCACCGAGUCACCUGCUAGUGGUGAAUGAUUGGAUCUGACUACCGUGAGAUGAUGUCCUCCUCAUUGUUCUUGCUGUCAGACUACUUUAAAUGUUUGUUGUGCAAAAGCUAACUUGGUGAAUUUUCUCAAGUAACGUCUGGUAACCACAUCAAGUAACGGAGAAACAUAUUCCAGUUGCCAGCAAGACGCCAUUGACUUGCUUAUCACUAGUAUGUUCCUCUAUAUGGUGAUGGUCUGGUAUAGAUUUGCCAAAGUAUAAUUUCUUCAAAUUGUGACUUGAAUCCUAAUGUGGAAACUAUGGUCCUGUAGUGUGUUUCUACCUAUUGUGCUGGUUUGUACAUAUUUGCUGAAAAUAGCUUGUACAUAAAGGAAAGUACAUGAAUAAAGUAAAUAAAUCUUUUUUAGAACAUUGGUAACAUUCACACUCUUAAUAUAAUAAUAUCCUUCUUAUCCAAGUCGAUGUCAAAUACUCUUACUUAUCUUGGUCGAUACAAAUAGACUAUUGUACUAUUUAUUUCAUAAGCUACUGAUCCACUAAUUACCUAGAUGUCUAAGAACAUUGGUAACACUCACACCCUUAAUCUAAUAAUAUCCUUCUUAUCCUCAUCCAUGUCAAGUACUCUUACUUAUCAUGUUCAUAAGCUACUGAUCCACUAAUUAUCUAGAUAACAUCCUUGUUCUCCUGGGCCUUGCUUUCUGUACUUCAUCUUCAUCUUCAAGCAUUGUAUUUUUGGCUUUUGCUUUAACACGUUUCUUGUUACCAUGGACACCUUUUUCGUUUUGUUCAGGCAUAUUCGUCUCAAUGCAUUCAUCCUCCGAGCCAUCUGAUAUUACAACAGAUCUCAGUCUCCUUUUAUUGCCACUUCGGAGCUCACGGGAUGAUGACGAUAUUUUGUCUUGACUCUUAUCUUUGUUUAAUGUAGUCCCAUUGAUGUCAUGUGGCUCCUCUUUCACAGGCACCAGUUCGCAUGAAAGUUUGCCAGGUGAAACUUUAUUAUUCUUUGACUGCAAACAUAUACAUUUUUAAAAUUAGACACAUCUAUAAAAUCUAAAGUGUGUAUAUAGUUUUAAAAAAUCAAUCACCUUUCUAUCUAGCAUGUUCUGCUUCUUCAUUAAUACGAUGUCAACCUCAUCAUCCAUCAGUUCCUGUGCAACAUAUGUAAGAUUAAUUAGUUAAGGAAUUCUAAAAAUGGUAAAAAUUUAAUGCAACUUUACCUCCUCGGCUUUAUUGUCCAAGUAGAGCAUCUCAAGCUUAUCAUCAGGAACAAAUGUUCUUUUUACUGCAUAGUUUUUUGUGCCAAAUGUGAGAUUACUAUCAUUGAGCUUGAAUCGAAAUAUAAGUCUUUUUCCACAUAAUUGUUGAAUAAUCUUUGGUGCUUCUUCUAAUUUCCCAUCUACUGUGUCCAACAACUUAGAUGCAGACAUAUUAACCAAUCUUGCAGCCUCCUCGUUAAAUAAAGUGCAGCUUGUAGUAGAUGUAUGGUCACUAAUUUGGAGACGAACACGAUACCUAACAUACAAUUCAUUUUAGUGGAGAGUAAAUACAAUAUAACAAUGCUUGUUCAUAUUUUAGUAAUAUAAUAUGCUUACCGUGGUGUGACCUUUUCUAGAUAUAUACCACAAUUCUUGCAAUAAUACUUGUCGGUUUCUUUAGUAGCCAAUUUGUGACACUUACACAUGACAUGUACCACCAUUGAAUAUUUUCUUGCAAACAGUCUAUUGUAGCUAUUGCUGUGAAGACAAAAUUCUAAAAAAAAUCAACGUUAGCAUUGGGGUAGGGGUAGGGGAUUAAGAGACAUAUAUAAGUACAUUAUGGUUUCAUUAUAAUUAAUAUUGAAUGAAUUGUCCUUGCAGGUAUUUUACUCAUAUUACAAAGACUAAUGACAUAUUUAUUGAAAUUCAAUGCAUUACCUGGUCUAGCUGGUUUUCGUGCCUCAUUGUAGUAAGUUGUUCCAAUUUUUUCCUCCUACAAAACAUUUGUUCUUCUAGUGUUCCUUGAUUACUCCUAUCUAUACUGAUCAUUUUUGGUAAGGUUUCUUCUGUCGAGUCCCUGCACAUGCAUGAAGUGAAUAAUAAUAUUGAAUCUUAAAUGAACGUGAGUCACUAUUUAUAAGUGGAAAAUAAAUAAAUUGGUGGUAUUUCAUACCUAUCAAGAAGUUCUUGUGUUUCUGGUAUAUCCAGAUCUAUGUAUAUUCUUGUGGCACUGGUUGACUUUAGGCACAGACCAAUUUAAUCCAUCAGUUAGAAUUUUAAAUGAUAAAAAUAACAUGUAAGUUUGAUGGAUUUACCAUUAAAUCUCUGUACCAUCGUUGAUGUAAUAAUAAGGACAGUUUGGCUGCCGAUUACAUCCUCGGUCAAAAAAUAAGCAAACUUUCCCCAUAACGUGAUUCUGAUUUUAUCACCCCUAAAGCAUUUAAUACGAGAAGUUAGUGCACACGGGGAGGUUUGAUUAAAUUUGAGACAUGCAUAUGCAUAUGCACUUACUCUGGCAUUAGGAUUUCAAUCUCGCGGAUAUAUGAAGGUUGUUGGUUCUUCUUUGUUAUUCUUGUCUCCACAGGCUUCAUUUGUGUUAGUAGUCCAAUGACAUCUGCAUAUUUGGAUAUUAGUGAUAUAACAAUUAGAAUAUCAACUAUUUCUAAGUCGAAAUUACAACUAUAAACAUACCUGAGCAUUGUGUAUCUUUUUCUGCCAUUUCUUAUAGUGUCUCCAUGGUAGCAAACUCGAAGCAAUAAUCUGGGAAAACUUCUAAAGAUUCUUUUAUCUCCUUUACCUUUGUAUUGUAUGCAAAAAAAUAUUUUAAUGUCAUUGCUCACUGGCCUAUAUUUUGUGGAUUCCACGACCUUAAAAUUGCUGAAUGCAUAAAUAGAUUUUUCAUUGAUCUUUGAUCUAAAAGUGUCUAUAAGAUUCUUCCAGAUAGUAACAUGGAUUGUUUCACCCUGCCGAAAGAAUAAAAUAUGGUUAGUAAUUGUUUCUUCAUGUGACAGAAAGAUUCCAAUUAAAUAUAUUAAAAAAACACCUGCUCGUCCAUUAGUAUCAUAUCUAGGCUAAUAAGCUCAUCGGUCGUAGGAUUGAUCGAAUCCCAUAUUCUCAUUACUUUCACUUGAAUGUUCCAAUUUUGUCCCAUUGUAGUUAAGUCGCUCAACUUUUUGUAUGCCAUAGUGUUAUGUCUUCAAAAUUAACAGGAACAAUUUGUCAGUUGAUAUACUAUUUAUGAAGAUUUCUAUUGAAAAGAAAGUAAGCAUACUAAAUAAAAUUACCAAUCUGAUGAUGUAGGCCAGAAGUGCUUUGGGGUCACUUCUUCCGACGUGGAUUGUAGCAGCUGGGCGUAACUUUGUCGGGCGUCGACUGUGCUCUGGCGUGACUUUGUUGGAAGUCAAAAGAAGCGGCUGGAGGUGGCUUUCGGUGUGGAUGUCGAGUUGCGUGUGCCUUGUUCAAGUCUUCGUGGUUGCCGACUUCUACUUAUUUGUUGGGUGCUUGUGCGGCCAGGUGCACUUGUUUAUAUAAUGGGUUAAGGUGUCUAGGUUGGGUGUCCGAGACCGUGUGGAGAUCAUAUUGUAAACUUGUCUUAUCUGCAUGUAAUCGUUUCUGUUUUGGAACUUUCCUCACGUGGUCUGGUGGCUGUCCUUAUUUGUUUAGAUUCCUUAUUUGUCUAGGUUUGACUAUUGUUUGUUGUUAUCCUUGACCCAUUGAUGUGAAG